rnacentral:lncRNA from 1 species
UAGACAUUGAGCUCUUCCAAGAAGCAGCAUGAAGCCUUUUCAUUUUGCUGUCAAUAUUAGCAUGUACAGCAGCAUGCAUUUUGAGAACUCAGCAACUGAAUAUAAGUAUGAAGGAUAGAAGAUUACAAAAUACAUCAGCAUGUGUCUGUGUGUGAUCAGCAGAGCUUCCUUCAUUUAUAGCAGUAAGGACAGGGUUAUGUGUAGGGGAUAAGAAAAUGGAAAACCAGAAAUAGUUUGCUUGAGGAAUGCAAAUGAUGGAUGAUUUUUAUCUUCAUUGGCAGAUGGGUGAUUCAUCUUGCUAUGAGUGAUUCUGAAGAUGAUAUUGAUAACUUCGGCAUGAGGUGGGACAGGAGCUGGAGUGCGGGGCACAGCCACCCUGCAGACAGAGCCCAGCUGCUGCCAGUGCCUUUAGCCACAGCUGUGGAACACAAGAACCAGAGGGAGACCUCAGCACCUCCUGAUGUUCCUGGUUCCUGGGUCAGCUCAUUUCACAGCGCGCUCAGGCAUUUCUACCCAUAUGCUACACCCUGCAAGGCACGUUUUCUGAUAUACCAGCAAGAUUUGCACCUCAAACUUCAAAGGCAACUCUGAUAAACUGAACAAAGUGUGGUUCAGCAGGUAAUCUUUUCAUGCAAGUGCUUUGAUUAUCAGGAGCAAGAUAUUUUUCACAUUUUUCAACUACUGUGUUUAUAAUCUACAAAACAAAUUGGCAUCCUCUUACACGAUAGUCCAUAAAUCAAAGAUUUUAUAAAGCAAGAAUCAGCUGCUCAGGGUUUUUAGUUCAUUUCUGAUACUUAGGUAAGAUGCUAGACUGUGUCUAUUUGUGAAACACAUGAGCUGAGGUUUAAAAUUCUGCGAUAAUAUAUGCAAAAUGCCUGAAUCUUGUCAUACCAAACAAUGUAUACUAUUCCGGCUUCCUGAGGUUCCAUGCAGAUAAUUUGUUAUUUCUGAUAGCAGUUAAUCAUACUUAAACACAGACUCUAUAAAGCAAUGCAAAUUCAGACAUCCUGCCUCACUUAAGCACACCUGCAUAUUCAGAUUACUGAUAUGUACACUUCAGGAGUGUGACUGCUAGAUCAGUGUUGGUAGAAAGAGUAGUGUAGAACCCUACCGCCUCCUUUUUCUGACAUUCUGCUUAAAAAGAUGUAGUUCUUACAGAAAAAAAAUGCUUUUGAAAAUACCUCUAUUUUUGAAAUAAAUAUUUAAUAUUUCAGAUCUAAUAUUAAACC